UGGGCUUCUCAAGAGAGCCCAAUAUCCGGCCCAAAUUUCAACUGCUCGGGCCCAUUUUGAAAUAUCGUCUUCCAGUUCCUGCUGACCGUACAUGGUUCUCUCUCCCAGUUCUUUCCCGCCUCUGUAACUUGCCGUCCGCCGCGUAAUCUCCGAUCAACCUACGGGUUGAAUGUAAGUGAAAAGCUCUGCGAAGCUGCGCUGCCUUACAAUGUUUGUCAAUGUGCGUCGCCUACAGAACUCUUUUAUGGUACAUUACUACAUUGGUCUUCUUCUUUGAGUUCACCCCAAACCACAUUUUCCUCAAGUUUUUAAACGAGUAUUGUUCGUCGUGUUCUUCGGAUUUGGAUAGUCUUGCAUUUGAUUACGUAGCUCAAUUUUUUCCUUCCAACGACGGUACUUUGUGAUUCAUUUCUGAGUUCAGUGACUAUUGAUGACUGGCGUAGGGUCACUAUUAGGUUAUCCAAAGCGAUUAAGCUGUAUAGGAUUUGAAGAUACUUUUGAGAAAUUUAUACCCUGUUUUUUUGGUCAAGAUUAUGAAAUUGUUUGAAUGUUGAGGAACCGCGUUUGCGUUCUUAAGCUGGCAUUUAAGGAUGAGUGUGAAGGAACUGUUAGGUCUUGUUGUGUGGUGUUGUAGGGAAGUUGUUUAGGUAUGUGGUUCGAAAGGGACCUCUCCCUCAUAAUUAUAUGUUUAACAUAAUGAUUCUUGGGUUUUGUAGAAAGGUUGGAGCAUGUGACGAGCAAAUUUAGCUGUGAACCAGAUGUUUAUUCGCAUAAUAUUGUGAUAAAUGCAAACUGCUUAAAAGGGCAGUCAUCACAGGGGCUUCACUGGGUGAAUUUGAUGAUCCCAAAUGGCUGCAAAUCUAGUAUUGCUACAAUCAGUUCCGUCAUUGAUGCCUUCUGCAGGGGAGGAGGGUGGAUGGGGGUAGUUUAGUUAUCUGGGAAACUUUUUGUUGAAAUUGUAGAUAUGGGGAUCAAUUAUUAAGGGAUAUAUCUGUAUCUGGUUUGCUUAACGAUUCUUCACUAUGUGAUGUAACUGUCUCAGGACUGUGCAUGGGCUUGUAGAUACGAUGAAACCAUGAUGUUUUUAGAGGAUUUACUCGAGAAAGGAUUUCCUCCAACUGGUUGCUUUUAAUUCCAUUCUUGCAGAAUGCGGCAGUGCAAGUUUAGAAGAGAGAGCAUUUUAUGCCUAUGGUACAGUGGCGAAUUUGGUUUAACUCCUUCAUCUUCCACGUGUAGUUCUUUGCUUAUCAGCUAAGCUAGGAAGGGAACCUUGAUGAAGCUAGGAUAAUUUUGUACGACAUGAUAGAGAAAGGAUUCUCUGUCAAUAACGUGGCUUUUACAGCUCUUUUGAAUGGGUGCUUCAGGGCAGUAGAUGUCAUUACGGCUGAAAGUUUGUGGAAUGAGAUGAAGGGUAAGGGGUGUUUCCAGAUGCAGUUGCAUUUGCAGCUUUUAUUUAUGGGUUCUGUAUGUCUGGUUUGAUGAAGGAUGCUUAUGAUAUUGUGAGAUCCCACAUCGGUUGGAGAGGGGUAUGAAACAUUCUUUAUAAAGUGUGAAAACCUCUUCCGAGUAGACACAUUUUAAAAACCUUGAGGGGAAGUAAAAAAGGAAAGCCUAGAGUGGACAAGAUCUGCUAGCGUUGGACUUGGGUUGUUAUAACUGGUAUCAUAACUAGAUACUGGGCAGUGUACCAUUGAGGACGUUGGGGCCCGAAGGGCGGUGAACUGUGAGAUCCCACAUCGAUUGGAGAGGGGAACGAAACAUUCUUUAUAAAGGUGUGGAAACCUCUUCCUAGUAGACGUGUUUUAAAACUUUGAAGGGAAGCCUGAAAAGGAAAGCCCAAAGAGAGCAAUAUUUUGUGUACAAUUGGUGAAAUCUGAAAAGUGGGAAAACCUAAUAUUUUUACGACAAACAUGAUAAUUGGUGGGGAAUGCAAACAAAGAUAGACGAAGUUAGCCAUUGGGACGUUCAUGGACAUGUAUAAGAUGGGUUUAUCUCAUGAUAUUGUCACUUACAGCACAUUGAUUAAUGGUUACUGUAAAGUGACAUGGGUAAUGAAAAUGUCAGAUGGUAGGUGGGAACCUGAUAUAAGGACUUACAGUAUACGAAUUCAUGGUUUCUGCACUGCCCGAAAAAUCAAGUGGGCUGGGACGAUACUUGAGGAGCUUAUUUCAGCAGGGGUUGUUCCGACUACUGUAACAUACAAUACUAUGAUUACUGCUGUCCAGUGUCAUCCUGGAACAUGCUAUGAUGGAUCAUUAAUUAGAGCAUUCUUGUGCUCCAUGAAUCCUUAUCCAAGAUUUUUGUAAUUUGAUAGUGGCACGUGAAUUAAACUCUUGAAGUUGAAUGGCUGUUCCAAUAAAUUAGACUUAAUGGAGCAUGAAGCCAGCGAGAAAUCUCAUACUCCAAGUACUUAGAGAAGCUGCACAACAAUUGAUCCCAAGUUCCUGAGACGUCGACAAAUAGAAGAAUGUUCUUGGAGGAUUCAUCCUUUGAGGUAAUAAUUCGUAAAACUUGUCUCCAGUAGGAAAAACUCCAAUUAAUCUGCUGUUUUGAUUUCUAUAUGGCUUUGGAGGAACCGUGAUGUGUGAGUAUUCUGAUCUCUGUUUGGCUGAUGUUGCGUAGGAAUAUAUUAUUUAGUAGCUUGGUGCAUAAUAUAACCCUGUAACUUAACCCAGAACACCUUAGUUAUAUAUAUUUUUUACUCAGUUGACACAUUCUAUGGCAAUGAAAGUUCAUAGUUUGAAUGUUCUUUUACUUGGUCUUAACACUUAUUACUUGUUUGCCCGUUUUGCUGUAUUUGUUUUGUCUAUUGAUUUCAACUUAGGCUGCCCAUGUGAAUGACUUUUUAGUCCCAAAUCGCCAUUGACCUAUAAAUUAGAUAUCAUAUAGGGUGAAAGCCAGUGAUGAAACUGCAACUUGAAUGUUGUUUUCAUAGUAAUUGAAUUGUGAGAUAUAUAUAUAUUUUUAUAUAUAUGCUAGUGUUUGAGCCAGCAUGUGCACACCUUAAUUAUUUUCACGGGACAACUGCAUGACACAUUUGUUUACCAAAGUAACUCAUAAGAUAUUAAAUCCUAGGUAGGUGGCUACUAUGGCUAGAAUCCAUGAAUGGAAAGUAGAGGUUAAAUAUUUAUUUGUUUACUGUUUCCUUCCUUUCCUUUCAUUGCGAAGGAAUAAAUAAAUUGGCCUACUAGUCAAAAUAAUCAAAUCCUAAGCCUAAGCUUAGAUGUUUUUUAAGUUCAAACUAUAGUGGUUAUCCUAUUUAAGAUAAGAUUUAAGUAUAUGAUCUUCUUGAACAUGUUUUGUUUUCCAAGUUAUAGCUUGUAUCCUUGAGUUCUAAGAUAUUAAAUAUCAUUAAGAAAAUAUGUACGGGAUCAAAAAAAAAUUUAUGAAAAAAAAUUGUAGGAUCCCUCUUGUUUAUAAAAAAAAAAAAAGGUUAUAGGAUGCCAUAUUUAAUUUAGUCCACUUGCAAUUAACUUGACGCCUCACAUUUAUUAAAGAAAAGGGAGUUUGAAGAGGGAAAAGUGGGUACAUCUCUCACUAUCAUCUUGACUAAGUAGAUACAAUAUUAAUGUUUAGUGAUUAUUAACGAUUAAAAUAAUUUUGUUUAGAAAUUGUGAGAAUUUAUUGCAGGUAGCAUCUGUGAGAUCCCACUUCGGUUGGAAAAGGGAACAAAACAUUUCUUAAAAGGGUGUGGAAACCUCUCCCCCUAGCCGACGCGUUUUAAAACCGUGAGGCUGAUGGCAAUAUAGAGUGGGCCAAAGCUUCGGCCUUCACAAUACCUAAGUUUUUCAGGUGGAUGAAGAUGAAAGCCGCCCCACCAUAUCCUAUAAGCCAACCCCUGAGCUGCUCCAAGUACUAUCUGCAAUCUUGUUUUCCAAGCCAGUGUCGGUAGCGCCUUGUUGAAGAGAUGAUCUUCCAAGCUUCUGUUCGUCAUAUACUCGUAUACGAGCAGUCUUUGUAUUCCUCUUGUUCCAUCCACAGCACAGUAUCCUACGAGUUGGACAAGAUUUGGAUGCUCCACUAUACCAAGAAAUUGAACUUCUGCCAGCCACUGCUUGUGGCCCUAUUUGCAAAAUAGAAAUGGUACACUCCGAGUCGAUGUUAGAGAGCACGAAGAAGCAGCCGUCCGACUGCAUCCCGAAAAGUCAGAUUCUAGCUCCCCUUUCAAUUCAGGAGAUCGAUGAGACCCAGAUGGGAUCAAGGGAAAGGGCCAAUUUGUUGAGUCUGGCUUGAAGUUUCAAGUUCCAUUUGAGCCUAUG